AUUGAACGCUGGCGGCAGGCUUAACACAUGCAAGUCGAGCGGGGUGAUGGUGCUUGCACUAUCACUUAGCGGCGGACGGGUGAGUAAUGCUUAGGAAUCUGCCUAUUAGUGGGGGACAACAUCUCGAAAGGGAUGCUAAUACCGCAUACGUCCUACGGGAGAAAGCAGGGGAUCUUUAUGACCUUGCGCUAAUAGAUGAGCCUAAGUCGGAUUAGCUAGUUGGUGGGGUAAAGGCCUACCAAGGCGACGAUCUGUAGCGGGUCUGAGAGGAUGAUCCGCCACACUGGGACUGAGACACGGCCCAGACUCCUACGGGAGGCAGCAGUGGGGAAUAUUGGACAAUGGGGGGAACCCUGAUCCAGCCAUGCCGCGUGUGUGAAGAAGGCCUUAUGGUCGUAAAGCACUUUAAGCGAGGAGGAGGCUCUUUUGGUUAAUACCCAGAAUGAGUGGACGUUACUCGCAGAAUAAGCACCGGCUAACUCUGUGCCAGCAGCCGCAGUAAAAC
rnacentral:rRNA from 1 species